rnacentral:rRNA from 1 species
GUCUAUGGCCAUACCACCUUGAAUGGGCCUGAUCUCAUCUGAUCUCAGAAGCUAAGCUGGGUCUGGGCUGGUUAGUAUUUGGAUGGGAGAAAUGCUAAUGUAGUGAAUC